rnacentral:lncRNA from 1 species
CGAACCUCCAAGAGAGCGCGAACCACUCUCCUCUACCCGGAGAACCACCAGACGGAUCGUUAAAAAGUGCGCGGUCCAGGAAGGUCGAGAGGAACAUAGUUGAGUUUGAAGAUAAAUUCGAUCGGAUGGAAUUUUUUUUCUUUUAGGAAACGAUCGUGUAAUGGCGCACGAUUUUCCCUCCAAGUUCAAUUGAAGUGCUAUUUCGACUACGAAACUUUUUGUCGUUAUUAUAAUUGGACGAGGAACAACUGUUCGUCGAAACAGGUUGGAAGUAAAAGGUGGUAUAGGACAGGAAUUUUGCACCCUUUAAUAAACGGCCGAAUGUUAAAAAUCCAUUUCCAAUAAUCUGUCCGCUAUUAAUAACGAUCAACGCGCAACUCUCGUUCGAGUUUAUACUCGAGCAAAAAUACAAGCUUAAAAACUCCCGAAACUAAAAUAAAACUGAACGAUAUCUCAAUUUCCCGAUAUUUUCUCCCUCUCCAGAGUUAAACUUCUUAUUAACUCCGCGAACAAACUUGUCUCCAUAAUUGAAAAUCCAAGUUGACCCAAAUAGCUCCCCUUUACCCUUCCCCUCCCCGUUCCGGAGAAACAAAAUUAUCCCCCGGUUAUCCCGGGACCGGGAUAAGAAGUCGACCGAUAAGCAACCCUUCGAUUAGCCAUCACCCUCCCUCUCUAUCUCUCUCCCCCUCCUCUCGUCCCUGUCCACGAACCGAG